rnacentral:tRNA from 1 species
ACCUGGGUGGCUCAGUUGGUUGAGCGUCUGACUUCGGCUCAGGUCAUGAUCUCAUAGUUUGUGGGUUCAAGCCCCGCAUCAGGCU